rnacentral:rRNA from 1 species
GCCCUUGAGGCGUGGCUUCCGGAGCUAACGCGUUAAGUCGACCGCCUGGGGAGUACGGCCGCAAGGUUAAAACUCAAAUGAAUUGACGGGGGCCCGCACAAGCGGUGGAGCAUGUGGUUUAAUUCGAUGCAACGCGAAGAACCUUACCUGGUCUUGACAUCCACAGAACUUUCCAGAGAUGGAUUGGUGCCUUCGGGAACUGUGAGACAGGUGCUGCAUGGCUGUCGUCAGCUCGUGUUGUGAAAUGUUGGGUUAAGUCCCGCAACGAGCGCAACCCUUAUCUUUUGUUGCCAGCGGUCCGGCCGGGAACUCAAAGGAGACUGCCAGUGAUAAACUGGAGGAAGGUGGGGAUGACGUCAAGUCAUCAUGGCCCUUACGACCAGGGCUACACACGUGCUACAAUGGCGCAUACAAAGAGAAGCGACCUCGCGAGAGCAAGCGGACCUCAUAAAGUGCGUCGUAGUCCGGAUUGGAGUCUGCAACUCGACUCCAUGAAGUCGGAAUCGCUAGUAAUCGUGGAUCAGAAUGCCACGGUGAAUACGUUCCCGGGCCUUGUACACACCG